rnacentral:rRNA from 1 species
AACGAACGCUGGCGGCAUGCCUAACGCAUGCAAGUCGAACGAGACCUUCGGGUCUAGUGGCGCACGGGUGCGUAACGCGUGGGAAUCUGCCCCUGGGUUCGGAAUAACAGUUGGAAACGACUGCUAAUACCGGAUGAUGACGUAAGUCCAAAGAUUUAUCGCCCAAGGAUGAGCCCGCGUAGGAUUAGCUAGUUGGUGAGGUAAAGGCUCACCAAGGCGACGAUCCUUAGCUGGUCUGAGAGGAUGAUCAGCCACACUGGGACUGAGACACGGCCCAGACUCCUACGGGAGGCAGCAGUGGGGAAUAUUGGACAAUGGGCGAAAGCCUGAUCCAGCAAUGCCGCGUGAGUGAUGAAGGCCUUAGGGUUGUAAAGCUCUUUUACCCGGGAUGAUAAUGACAGUACCGGGAGAAUAAGCUCCGGCUAACUCCGUG